UGGGUUUAUCAAAGUGCAUAC
rnacentral:piRNA from 1 species